UAGGGAAUCUUCCACAAUGGACGCAAGUCUGAUGGAGCAACGCCGCGUGAGUGAAGAAGGUUUUCGGACCGUAAAGCUCUGUUGUUGGUGAAGAAGGAUAGAGGUAGUAACUGGCCUUUAUUUGACGGUAAUCAACCAGAAAGUCACGGCUAACUACGUGCCAGCAGCCGCGGUAAUCGUGGUGGCAAGCGUUGUCCGGAUUUAUUGGGCGUAAAGCGAGCGCAGGCGGAAGAAUAAGUCUGAUGUGAAAGCCCCCGGCUUAACCGAGGAAUUGCAUCGGAAACUGUUUUUCUUGAGUGCAGAAGAGGAGAGUAGAACUCCAUGUGUAGCGGUGGAAUGCGUAGAUAUAUGGAAGAAUACCAGUGGCGAAGGCGGCUCUCUGGUCUGCAACUGACGCUGAGGCUCGAAAGCAUGGGUAGCGAACAGGAUUAGAUACCCUGGUAGUCCAUGCCGUAAACGAUGAGUGCUAAGUGUUGGGAGGCUUCCGCCUCUCAGUGCUGCAGCUAACGCAUUAAGCACUCCGCCUGGGGGAGUACGACCGCAAGGUUGAAAC
rnacentral:rRNA from 1 species